AUAAUCUACAAGCACCAAAUUUUGUCAAGUGAUAGUUGAAAACCGUUAGAAGUCAUAAAGUUCAAGAAUUGGACCGAUUCUUAAAAAGGAGUAUGCCUAGCGUUUUUGCUUAGUAUGAUAUAUUUUGUGCUGGAAGAGAAUCUCUAGUGCUGGAAAUAAUAAGUCUAUGUUUCUUAAGGGAAAAAAAAUUUAUGCAUGAUGUACUUUUAAGGUCAACUGGGUCAUGUCUAUACGAAUUAAUUCUUGUACUAUGAACUACUCUGAUUGCACAGCCUCAACACGUGUUUGUAAUGUGGUAAGUAAAGAUGAUGGUACUCAAUAAAAAUGUUAAUUCUUGUGUCAUGCACAUUUUUAAGGAGACAAGCUUCUCGAUUGCAACUAGUUAAGUCCAUGAUAAUUAUGCAUCUGGCAUUACCAGUUCUUUGUAUGCUAGUGAUGUUAAAGGGUUGGCUAGAAUCUGUCUGAAUGCAUGCCUGUCAAGACAACUGAAUAGAACAUUGUGCCUUGGAUGAUUCGCUAGAAUUCUCAGUGUAUUGGUCUGAUUCUGAUUUUAUUUUGUUUUCUUCUGCAAAUUAUAUUUUGUCGAGAUUCUUAUGCUCUAAGAGUGUCAUGGGAGAGGCAAGGUUUUGACUUUUGUGCAACGUUAGAAGUGUAAUUGGGUGGGGGAAAUACAUUGAUCUUCACAACUAACUUGAUUCAUGAUGAUCUUAGUGUAUAUUAGAGUUUGUCCUAGACAUCUGGCAAAAUGUACUCAUUUGACCUAUCAAUCUUGCAUCUGUAUCUUCAUCAGGUCCCUCUAUUCUUUUGGAUUAAUUUCUAGGCUGUGGUGUCUAUUUGAUGUUGUUCAGAGUUGGUGCAGAUUGUAGAUGAAAAUUUUAAGCCUAGCCAAUUAGCAGCAGAGAGUGGAUGGAUGGCCUGUGUAUUAGUCAGGAGGUAUGUAAUUAAUGGGUAAGCAAACCUUGUUUUGAGGCUGUUAAAAAAUCUGUCUCUUCUUCUUCUACUUGAUCUUACACCAUUGUUUUCUCUUAAAUGUUUGAUACAUUGUGGUUGAUGUCCCUGUACCAUUUACUCCGACUCUUAUUCUCAACUCAUCCUGUAAUUUUCUUUUUCUAUUGCUGUCUUCCCCUUGUUUUUAUGACAUUUUUAAAAAAAGAUGUUCUUUAUAGGUUAUUGUUCAAGGUAAGAAACUCAAUGUACUGAGUUGAUCCUGAUCUAGCACUGUUACUAUACUGGUUAGAUUGAUAUGAGCGUGUUAUACAUACUAUGCACCAGAUCUAAAUAAAGUUUUUUGCCUAGAUAUGCUAACAUGCUCGAUAUCUCCAGAGCUAUGAUACUUGGGUGUUCUUUUAGAGAAAUGGAGAUUUUGUGCUUUUCUAAAUUUGUGAUUUGUUUAAGUAAUCAUUCUACACUGCUUUAGAGCCUAACGAGUAUAAUGUCAUUAUUUCUCUUGUAAUGAAAGUCAAGUGGUAUAACACAACGUUAUGGAGAAUGAACAUACAUACAAAUGAUAAGUGAUGCUAGAGAACUGGCUGAUGUAAUUUCAUCACACUCACUGACCAAUUGUUAUGAGGAAAGAUGAUGGUAAGAUUAUUUUGCUUUUAGAAGUUUUUUUUUGGUUCUUAAUGUAUGUCGAAGCUACUGCUUUCUUAGUCCUACUAUACAAAAAUUAAUUUUCCUUGCAUGGUCCGUAAAUCCCUUCAUUGAUUCUUACCAUGAAGAAUCAUGAAUAGCUUAAAAAGAAAAAAAUUGCUUUAAGUUUUGAGCUUUUACAUUGUUUUUCUAUUUAUUUCUCUGAUAUAUUUAUUUAGGAUGCUUUAUGGUACGAGGUUUUGCUUUGAAUGCUCAGUGGUCUUAUUAGAUUCUGCUUUUUUUUUUUUUCAUUUAUUUUGCCUUCUGGGGAGAGGACAGGGGGGUUGGGAAGAGGGGUGGGGGUUGUUUUGGAGAUGACAUAGGAGCUUACUAUGUGAAGGAAUUAAUGAAAAGACAGAGCAAAUUACAUUAAGGUGAAAUUAAUUGGAUAUCUGCGUAAUAACCAUUGAUGCAAGCAUCUCUUGCUUUGUGAAAAGAUUGCCAGAAUAUAUUCCUUUUACCUUCUCCAUAAGAGAUAUCAGUAGCUGGAACACCAACAUGCUGAACGAAGGCAGAAUAAUCUGAUCCUCCUCCUCCUAACCUUCCAAUCUUAAAGACCUUUUGGUCAGUUUGUCAAUAUUGAAAUCCAAAAGCCACUUAUCAAGGCCACAGAAAUCCAGAAGCUGACCUUUUAGAUUUAGUAAUUCUUGGUAUUCAGGGGCAGUUUGAUUUUAAACCUAAGUAGCUAAAUGCCUUAGUUGAAAAGCAUCAAUUGAGUUAUCUCGUAAAGAUAAAUUAUAAAUCAAAGUGGUAGCACAAUGGUCUAGGACGUGGCCAUAUAUUCAGUGCUUGUAAUGUUUACCCUGCUCCCACAACCCCAAGGUUCACAUUUAAGAACUCUUACGCAAUUCUCUUUCUUAUUUAAACUAUCUUAAGAUGCUUACCUUAGGAUUUUCACUGGAGCGAAUCCAGGAUUGGUAGAUGGAUUGCGAGGAGUUAUCCGGGUCUUGGACCUAAGUCAGAAGUUUAUCUAAUUUGAGUGAGAAUAGAAAGAUAAAACAUAAAUUGACAUUUGAAGUUUGACAGACUGGUAUUCUUGUGCUGUUAAACUACAUUUGCACCUCUAUAUAUAUAUUUUUAAACUUGAUGCUUUCUACGUGGAUUAACCAUAUGCAAUCAUUGUUAAUGCAUAUGGCAAUGUUGUAAAACCCUGUUGCCCCAACCCUUGAGAUUCGUUUCGUACCUGCUUAGUUGCUUUUAUUAGUAGCUCAUCGAGCUGUGGAGUUGCAGAGGCAUAAAAUCCUAAUCCUUGAACUGCAAUAUCAACAUUCAUAUAGGCUACAGCUCUUGAUGCUAGCAUUUCCCUGUUCUCUUCAACCCAUUCUGUUGAUCCUAUCUGAAGAUGGUGAACUGCUUAUAAUUCAGUUAAAACAACAAAUAUGUUCUGCCUGUAUGAGCUCACACAGCCUCUUUCUAGCUUUGGUUAUUUGAAAGGAGCCAGGGGUGCAUGUGGACGAGUGAAUGUGCUACAGUGAGAGGAGCGAAAGACAAACCAGGCCAUAUUCUUCAGCAUCCCAAUUACAAAAUAUAAUUGUUCGCCGAGGUUUCCAACCUUUUUCCUGGAGCUUCCACAUCCUGUGUGCAACCUGUCUCUCUCAAAAAUAUCAGUUGAACUGCUAUUUUCCUUGGAAUUUGAAUCUAGGGAUGUUAAGACGAUUUAAGCACCAAAAUUUUACAUACCUCAAGCAGGGCUGCUGUGCCACUAUUUGGAUCAACAGCUCCAAAUGUCCAUGCAUCCCGGUGAUUCCCAAGUAUGACAUAUCUAGAAAAUUUUCAACUGUGUGAGGAAAAUCUAGCAUUAGAAAGUUACUCGGUAAGCUUGAUUUUGUUUAUCCAGGCUCAGUUUUUUGGAAAAUAAUAUUAUGAUUUCAUUUUGGCUAUCAUUUCUAUUGUAGGGCUUGCUAUAACAAUUUGCUUGUCAUUUUCUUACGUGACAAUUUCAUCAUGCAGAAUUGUUUCAGAGAUGCGUAUUAAUUUGCUGUACAUUGCAUGUUUGAAUUAUUCAAACUUACCUAUCAGCUCUACAGAUUCGACAUUUUGCUGGUUUUUCGAGACUUACUGUAUAACUAAGAUUCAGAAUUGCUGGUCCUGGCCCAACCUUGUAGACAGGAGCAUCUUUCCCUCCCUGCCAAUCGUCAUUUGCCACUUGUCCAUCUAUGGACCUCAGGAUUCUGUCACCAUCAGCCCAUGAAAUAGCAUAGUCCUGUACGCGCCCGUAAUUGGCAUAUACUACGGGUCCAGCUACAGUGCCAGACUUGGCAUAUGCGUGGAACGUCGGUAGGACUUCGUCUGCCACGUCGGCAUAAGGAUCACCGUCGUAAAUCUCUUGGUGGAGAUCGAACUUGACGGGGCUGUCUUGAGGAGUAGGUUUUAGGGUCAAGGAACGUGAGAUGGGAUAAGUUAAGGCAACUUCAUAGGUUGUUAUAUGUGAUCGAACCUUAUAGGAAGUGAGGGUGGAUAGAACAUAAGCCGCUGCUUCGGCAUUGGCUUCGGACCCAGCAACAUGAGGCCGCUUGGUUAGGAUGUAGAGGUGGUUUGCUAUUGAUUGAUUGCAUGAAAGGGAAUCAGAUAAGAACAAGGAAUGAUAAAAGGACUUUGAUGGGGGUGAGAGGAGGAGGAAGGAGAUGGAAGUUGCUAUGGCUAUGAAGCUUGAGAUCACGUUCGUAUUCAUUACAGUUUUAGAGGUCGGAACAAAUUUUACGAAAUAGUAGAUGCUUCUUGGGAGCUCUCCCUAAGAUGGAAAUCAGGGUUUAGUCUGCAAGAAAUAUUCUGAGACUACUACUAUUUUCGGUCCUUUUAAGGUUAUUUCCAAGUGGGGCAAGGCGGAUGGGAGGGUGGGGUGAUGGAUGUUAUUUCCAAGGAAGAGGAAGGACAAAGGGUAAGAUGCGGUUUUUUUGUAAACUUUUCAAUAAUUGAUGUUGAUUCCGUUCCCAUCGAACCAAAACCUGAUAUAUUUAUUUCGCUUUUAGAGCUUUGAUUGUUGCCAACUGAUGUAGAAAUAGACAAUGAAGCUAAAUUCAUGUUAUUGGUCGCAUUUGGCCCGAACAAACACUUGAAUAGAUCCGGUCUAUGUAAAUUUAGUAGUUUAAAA